GGUCGGCUGCGGCUCUCGUCGAAGGCAACACAUCCCAGCGACCUUAAUCGUCUCUAAGGGAGCUGUCCCUGUCCGGGCUCGUGGGCCUGGGCACUACGGCGCCCACCUGGUUCGCCAGGUCGAGGGGAUUGAACCGUCCUUCACGGCCCUCGCGGCCCCCGC
rnacentral:other from 1 species